rnacentral:rRNA from 1 species
GAUGAACGCUGGCGGCGUGCCUAAUACAUGCAAGUCGAACGAGGUGCUUUUGUAGCAAUACGAGAGUAUCCUAGUGGCGACCGGGUGAGUAACGCGUUGGUGACCUACCCCAAAGUGUGGAAUAACAGUCCGAAAGGAUUGCUAAUACCGCAUGUGGUUAUCGGGUUUAGAAACAGAUAACUAAAGGAGCAAUUCGCUUUGGGAGGGACCUGCGUCCCAUCAGCUAGUUGGUGAGGUAAUGGCUCACCAAGGCUACGACGGGUAGGGGACCUGAGAGGGUGACCCCCCACAAUGGAACGGAAACACGGUCGAGAAACCUACGGGUGGCGGCAGUAGGGAAUAUUGGACAAGGGGCGAAAGCGUGAAGGAGCAUCGCGGCGUGAAGGAUGAAGGCGUUCGGAUAAUAAAGUGCUUUUCUGAGAGAUGAGUAAGGACGGUAUCCAAGGAAUAAGUAUCGGCUAACUACGUG